UUUUUGAUUCGUGUUUUCCCCCUUUUUUGACUUUGCGAUUUUAGGGUAAUUUGAAUUUCAAGUUGUCGUGAUUUCUUGGUUCUUGGAUGAUUUUUGUGUGGGGGUUGUUUAAUUUUGCGAUUUGCUAACUAGCGAUUUGGUUUUUUGUUUUCUUGAAUUUUGACCUGGUGAAGGUGUUUGUUUCUAGAUUCACGGCUGAGAUUUAGGAUUUCUGUCCUCUGAAUUUGGAAAAUUGUCUAGCUGCAAGGGAUUUUCAAGAUUCUUACUGUGUUCUGUGUGAUGUAUUGUCUGUUAGAGUGUUUGUCAAGUUUUGUAUGGCUUCUGCUGACAAUUUAAGCACUGUAUGGGCGGGUUUUGUUCAUGUUCAAAUUGAUAUAUGCUAUUUUGUGGGUGUUUCUUGGUUACUUGAAAUAUAAGUUCUUUCUAAGUAUUGCUUGGUACAAAAAAGUUUGUUGCUCAUAUAGGAAUGCAAUUUUGAGUAUAGAAAUUUUGCUUAAAUGUACAUUUGGGUACUGUGCAUUUGGGCUUGUUUGUUCCUGAUCUAGGUGUUUUAUCCUUGAUCAUUUUUUCACUUGGACUAGGAAACUUGUUGAAGUAUGACUUUUGUGCAUUUCGUAGCUCUGAGAUUUACCAGGGGAUGAUAAUAAUUUCUCAGUAUUGUUGUCUUGCUGUGUUUAUUUGUUUGUUCUAGGGAUAAUCCUAAUAUGUGAAGAAAUUUCCAUAUAAUCUCCUUUUUGACAAUGAUAGAUGGGUAUACAAUAUUUGUUUUCUAAAAGAUAAGAAAUCACAGGUUAAUUGUGACUAAAGACAUAAUUCUACAUUUUCUUGGAUGUCAUUUCAUAAACAUUUAUUUUAGGAGUUAAGACUAAAGACAUAAUGAUUAUCAUGAUAUUUGUUUUCUUGUAUCAAAAUCAGUUGCUACUUCUUAGCAAUCCCUCUUCCCUAAAGAGGUGACAAAAGUUGCAAAUUCAGUAAGGUAGAUUAUGACAUUUCAUGUUUGGGUCCUAUUUUCAAUAAAAUUUCAUACUAUUAUGAAAUUCUAUAAGCCCUAUGAUAGAUAGUGAGCAUAUUAUGAUUUUAGUUGAUUUUAUAUUUUUGCAUAAUUUGUUCGAUUAUAAAUAUUUGUUGUUUAUGUUACAGUAAAUGAUGUUUAACUUCAUGAUUGUGAGUAAGUUUGUCAGGUGUUCAGAUUGCUCUAAGACAGUGAUCCAACAAUUACAUUUUUGUUCAGCAUCUAUAUCAAGAUAUUAAAUUUUCAAAUCUUUUGACAGAUCAUCUCCAUUGAUUCGUUCCUUUAGAACAUGAUCCACAUGGUUUAUUGAACCCAGUUAAUAAGUCAUGCCCAUGUAUAAGUCAGUCACUAGGGGGGAAAUAAACCUUGUCUCUUACCAUGUAAAUGUGAAAUAAUGAUCAUAUUAUAUUCUAUCAAA